rnacentral:rRNA from 1 species
UACGGAGGAUGCGAGCGUUAUCCGGAUUUAUUGGGUUUAAAGGGUGCGUAGGCGGAAUAUCAAGUCAGCGGUAAAAAUUCGGGGCUCAACCCCGUCGUGCCGUUGAAACUGAUGUUCUUGAGUGGGCGAGAAGUAUGCGGAAUGCGCGGUGUAGCAGUGAGAUGCGUAGAUAUCGGGAGGAACACUCGUGGCGAAGGCGGGUUCCUGGACAUUAACUGACGCUGAGGCACGAAGGCCAGGGGAGCGAAAGGG